rnacentral:lncRNA from 1 species
CCUAACUUUGAGGUGAAAACCCCAUGUGAAUGAACACAAUUUCAACCAUUAGCCUGACUCAAAACCAGCCCUUGCCCCUACUGCAAAUCUUUCUAACUCUUAAAUUAUACUACUAUUAUAAUAAUCAAAAGGAAAAUAAAAAUGUGAGCCUACCUAAUGGCGUUUAAAGCUUAAAGGAUUCAAAAAUGCUGAGACAGAGCCCAAAGCUCAAGGUGGGUGACCUUGGAAACCUCCCCUCCAGGGAAUCUAUACACGUUUUGUUCUGUUUUGU